UACGUAGGGUGCAAGCGUUAAUCGGAAUUACUGGGCGUAAAGCGUGCGCAGGCGGUGAUGUAAGACAGAUGUGAAAUCCCCGGGCUCAACCUGGGAACUGCAUUUGUGACUGCAUCGCUGGAGUACGGCAGAGGGGGAUGGAAUUCCGCGUGUAGCAGUGAAAUGCGUAGAUAUGCGGAAGAACACCGAUGGCGAAGGCAAUCCCCUGGGCCUGUACUGACGCUCAUGCACGAAAGCGUGGGGAGCAAACAGG
rnacentral:rRNA from 1 species